rnacentral:lncRNA from 10 species
CUUGAAGGCCUCUGAGCGGAGCAGGAACCCGCCCUCUGGGGGCCUGGGAGCCGGCUCAGGUCCCAACACGAGGCGCUCUCUGCUUGCUUCAGGGGCCACCUGAAGGGAGAAGGGAGGCUGACCGUAGCUACGACACCCCUUCAGUGCUGGACAGCGGGCGGGAAGCCCCUCUUGCACCGACUAGACCAGAACGGCAGACAUUUUCCCUACAAGGAAGGGGAGCAAGAUUGAGUAAGAUAAGCCCGGUUAUUUUUAUACAGACAUUGUUCUAACCACAAUGACUGUUUUCGAAGGUGGGCGGUAUUUGUUUGGUGGAAGGAUCUUUGAGUUGAGAGGCAGCAGGAUGCUUCAGCACCACCACUUCCUUUACUUUUCUGAGUGUUCCCUUAUCAAGCCAUCAGUUCGGAUUCUGCUCCAUUUUUUCUGCCCGGUAAAGAAGUAGAAUGAGGUGAAAUAUGGCUACCUACUUGCCCCAGGAGGACAGUCAUGGCCGCUGGUCUAACAAUGCACCUGGCUGGAUCAGGAACAUCCACUUUUUCUCCAAAUGAAAGGUUACACACAGGGCACUGUCUUUUGAAGAGACCAGGCCAUCUGUUUCACUUGUGGGGUUUGUCUUACUGUUUUCUUGUGGUGGAGUUUUUGGUGAAGUUUUGAAGAAGGAUGAAAACACUCUGGAGCUUGAGCUGGAAUCCCUGGGCUGCCCCAAGGACACAUGCUCUGCUGCCUGUUGAAAAUGAGGGAAGAAACCAAUAAACAGGGAGCAUUC